rnacentral:rRNA from 1 species
UACGAAGGGGGCUAGCGUUGCUCGGAAUUACUGGGCGUAAAGCGCACGUAGGCGGCUUUCUAAGUCGGGGGUGAAAGCCUGUGGCUCAACCACAGAAUUGCCUUCGAUACUGUAGAGCUUGAGACCGGAAGAGGUAAGUGGAACUGCGAGUGUAGAGGUGAAAUUCGUAGAUAUUCGCAAGAACACCAGUGGCGAAGGCGGCUCACUGGCCCGAUACUGACGCUGAGGCACGAAAGCGUGGGGAGCAAACAGG